rfam:Schistosoma mansoni strain Puerto Rico chromosome 1, complete genome
GUUCAGCUGGCGAGUCGUAAAUAGAACGAAAUGCGCGUCCUGGAU